rnacentral:rRNA from 14 species
AGCAUGUGGUUUAAUUCGAUACGGCGCGAGAAACCUUACCAAUUUUUGCAUAUAAAAUAUAAAACUUGUGUUACGCGAGUUGUCAUUUAAAAAAAUGAAAAUUUUAUACAGGUGCUGCAUGGCUGUCGUCAGCUCGUGUCGUGAGACGUUGGGUUAAGUCCCGCAACGAGCGCAACCCUCGCCUCUAGUUGCCAUCAUUAAGUUGGGCACUCUAGAGGGACUGCCGGUGAUAAGCCGAGAGGAAGGUGGGGAUGACGUCAA